UGGAUCUCCUACGGGAGGCAGCAGUGGGGAAUAUUGCACAAUGGGGGGAACCCUGAUGCAGCGACGCCGCGUGAGUGAAGAAGUAUUUCGGUAUGUAAAGCUCUAUCAGCAGGGAAGAUAAUGACGGUACCUGACUAAGAAGCCCCGGCUAACUACGUGCCAGCAGCCGCGGUAAUACGUAGGGGGCAAGCGUUAUCCGGAUUUACUGGGUGUAAAGGGUGCGUAGGUGGCAGGGCAAGUCAGAUGUGAAAGCCCGGGGCCCAACCCCGGUACUGCAUUUGAAACUGUCCGGCUGGAGUGCAGGG
rnacentral:rRNA from 1 species